AAUAGAUACCCUGGUAGUCCACGCCGUAAACGAUGAGUGCUAAGUGUUAGAGGGUUUCCGCCCUUUAGUGCUGCAGCAAACGCAUUAAGCACUCCGCCUGGGGAGUACGGUCGCAAGACUGAAACUCAAAGGAAUUGACGGGGGCCCGCACAAGCGGUGGAGCAUGUGGUUUAAUUCGAAGCAACGCGAAGAACCUUACCAGGUCUUGACAUCCCGUGACAACUCUAGAGAUAGGGCAUUCCCUUUCGGGGGACACGGUGACAGGUGGUGCAUGGUUGUCGUCAGCUCGUGUCGUGAGAUGUUGGGUUAAGUCCCGCAACGAGCGCAACCCUUGAUCUUAGUUGCCAGCAUUCAGUUGGGCACUCUAAGGUGACUGCCGGUGACAAACCGGAGGAAGGUGGGGAUGACGUCAAAUCAUCAUGCCCCUUAUGACCUGGGCUACACACGUGCUACAAUGGAUGGUACAAAGGGCAGCGAAACCGCGAGGUUAAGCCAAUCCCAUAAAACCAUUCUCAGUUCGGAUUGCAGGCUG
rnacentral:rRNA from 1 species